rnacentral:rRNA from 1 species
AGGACGAACGCUGGCGGCGUGCCUAACACAUGCAAGUCGAACGCUCUCCAUUCGGUAGCAAUACUGAUGAAGAGAGAGUGGCGAACGGGUGAGUAGCACGUGAGCAACCUGCCCCGAAGACUGGGACAACACCGGGAAACCGGUGCUAAUACCGGAUAUCCCUAUCGGACCGCAUGAUCUGAUAAGGAAAUGUUUUUUCGCUUCGGGAGGGGCUCGCGGCCUAUCAGCUAGUUGGUGAGGUAAUAGCUCACCAAGGCAUCGACGGGUAGCUGGUCUGAGAGGACGAUCAGCCACACUGGGACUGAGACACGGCCCAGACUCCUACGGGAGGCAGCAGUGGGGAAUCUUGCGCAAUGGGCGAAAGCCUGACGCAGCAACGCCGCGUGGAGGACGAAGGCUUUCUGAGUUGUAAACUCCUUUCAGCAGGGACGAUUGUGACGGUACCUGCAGAAGAAGCACGGCCAACUACGUGCCAGCA